rnacentral:rRNA from 1 species
UACGAAGGGGGGCUAGCGUUGUUCGGAAUCACUGGGCGUAAAGCGCACGUAGGCGGAUCUUUAAGUCAGGGGUGAAAUCCCGAGGCUCAACCUCGGAACUGCCUUUGAUACUGGAGAGCUUGAGUCCGGGAGAGGUGAGUGGAACUGCGAGUGUAGAGGUGAAAUUCGUAGAUAUUCGCAAGAACACCAGUGGCGAAGGCGGCUCACUGGCCCGAUACUGACGCUGAGGCACGAAAGCGUGGGGAGCAAACAGG